GUACCAGGUAAUAAAACACACAGUUCAUCCAGGUAACAAAACACACAGUCCAUCCAGGUACCAGGUAAUAAAACACACAGUCCAUCCAGGUACCAGGUAAUAAAACACACAGUUCAUCCAGGUACCAGGUAAUAAAACACACAGUCCAUCCAGGUACCAGGUAAUAAAACACAGUUCAUCCAGGUACCAGGUAAUAAAACACACAGUUCAUCCAGGUA